UCAGGGGCAAUUCCAGAAGUCUUCAGAUUUCCAAAAGGAAGGACUGCAGCAGACAUUUCUGCCCCCAGAAAGGCAGGGAUAGAAACCACAGAGGCCACGGAAAUGAUGGGUGCCCUUGUGGCCAGUAGGCAAUCACCUGAAGGAACUGACUUCCAGAAGGAGGGUAGAAAUUACAAAUAAGGGCUUUAUAGCUCUGCCUGUUCCAAAAGCCCAGGAGAAGAAGAGGAAAAGCCCAAUCAUUUUGGAUUUGGGAAGAGGGUGGAAUUUGACUCCUGAUUCUGUGACCUUGAGCUUCAUAGAGGAAAUGAAAGACUCCUCUAUGGAAAGCUGAGAAGGUGAGCUCCCUGGGCAAGAACUGGCACCGCUUCUGCCUGAAAUGUGAGCGCUGCCACAGCAUCCUGUCCCCUGGCGGGCAUGCAGAGCACAAUGGGAGGCCAUACUGCCACAAGCCAUGCUAUGGGGCUCUCUUUGGACCCAGGGGUAAGUACCAGCCUUAAGGGGCCAUGGGUCAGCAGAACCCUCCUUGUGGCUGGGAGCUGGGGGCUCAAGCCUGACCUCCCCUAUUCUCUCUUCAGGGGUGAACAUUGGUGGUGUAGGCUCCUACUUGUACAAUCCCCCCACUCCCAGCCCUGGCUGCACCACUCCUCUCAGCCCCAGCAGCUUCAGCCCUCCCAGGCCAAGGACUGGCCUCCCACAAGGCAAGAAAAGUAAGGCUGAGCUCAGCUCCUCCCAGUCCUCCUCUCGACCCUUCCCCAAGCUGGAGCGGAGGUUGGGCCAGGUGGCAGUCUCCUAUCCAGCCCUCUGCUUCACAUUCUCACAACUUCAUUCUUGGCAAAGUCUUCUCUAUCUACUCCCCACUUUUUUUUUUCUUUCUUUCUUUCUUUCUAUUCCCUUAUGUGAGCUGCUGAGUUAAGAGGUAAAUUGUUGGGAGGCCGAGGCAGGCGGAUCAUGAGGUCAGGAGUUCGAGACCAGCCUGGCCAGCAUGGUGAAAUCCCGUCUCUACUAAAAAUACAAAAAUUAGCCGGGUGUGGUGGCUCAUGCCUGUAAUCCCAGCUACUUGGGAGGCUGAGGCAGGAGAAUCAUUUGAACCCAGGAGGCGGAGGUUGCAGUGAGUCAAGGUCAUGCCAUUGCACUCCAGCGUGGGCAACAGAGCGAGACUCCAUCUCAAAAAAAAAAAAAAA
rnacentral:sRNA from 1 species